GGAAGCUGGGCCUCGCCCUUUCUGACAGAAGCCACAGCUAUGGGAGGGAGGAGCCAGCCAUGAUUCUGCGACAGGAGAUCUGGCCAGAGGGGCAGUUGAAGCAGGUUCGUCACCGACAAGUCCAUGAUUGUGCAGAACUAGUGCUGGAAAGGCCAAGCCAGGGCUAUCAGGACAAUCUUGGCCUUGUCCUGAGUGAUCUUCAUGAGGACUUUGUGCACAUCAGAACCCCCGACCAAGGAAGUAGAAAGGUGUCCGAAAAGGAGCCGCAGCAAAACGAGCAGAACAGGUGGCACUUCCUGUUCUGCUGAGUCACGAACAAGUCCACCUGGUCGAUCACAUCGGGGUGGACAGACCACUUAUGGUGAGACAAGAAGGUUCUGCUGAGGCAAUCUGCCAAUAUGUUUCUGGUUCCGGGGAGGUGCCCUGCCACAAGAUAAAUGGCAUGCUGCACACAAAAGUCCCAUAGUUUGAGGGCUUCCUGGUAGAGGGCUGAUGACUUGGCUCCACCCUGCUUGUUGAUAUAAAACAUCAUGGCGGUGUGGUCCAUCAGGACUUGAACCACUGGUUCUUGUAACUGGGACUGAAUUGCCUAGCAGGUCAGGUGAACCACCCUGAGCUCCCUGACAUUUAUGUGGAAGGAGUGGUCAACCUCCGACCAGCAGCUCUGUGUACUGAAUUCGCCCAGGUGGGCUCCCCAGCACAGACCCAAGGUGUCAGACACCAGAGUUAGCAAAGGGGCCGCGGCCGCGAAGGGGACUCCCUGCAACACCAAUGGACGAUCCAACCACCACGCCAGUGAUGCCCAGAUGUGGUCCGGCACCUAGACUACCAGGUCCAGGUAGUGCCUGUUGGGGAUGUAGACUGACGCCAACCACGCCUGCAGCGGCUGGACGUACAGCUGGGCAUGAUGGACCACGCCCAGGUCACAGCAUGUGGACUGCAGCAGAUGGAGGCUGCUCUGCACUUGAUCCCGUGAUCUUCCCUUGAUGAGCCAAUUGUCGAGAUAAGGAUAGACCUGCACUCCCUGAUGCCUCAGGCCAGGUUGCGCAGAAGAAUUGAAGGAGGAAGUGACUGAACCCAGUGUCCCUUCUCCUCGUAGAUCCCUGCUGAUGCUGCCAAGGCCUUGCAGAGGGGGUAACCAGAGUGGUUUCCUCACAAACUGAGGCAUAUGCAUCCCCACGGAGCGGAGGGUGGCCCAAGUGUCUUUCAGGCUGUGCAGCCUCAUAUCCGUUUGAUCUGAAAACAGCACCACUCCAUCAAAUGGGAGAUUUUGUAUGGAGGACUACAUCUCCUGGGAUAGGCCAGUGGUCUGAAGCCAGGAGCUGUGGCUUCUGACCACCGCUGAGGUGACCACCCUGGACACUGAAUCAGCCACAUCCCAGGCCAUCUGGAGGGAGCACUGAGCUGCUGCAGUACCAUCCUCCACAAGGGCCCAGAACUCUUGGGCUGCCUCCUGGGGCCUGGAGCCCCUAAACUUGUGGAGGGAGAUUAAAAUUAUAAUGCCUCAAAAGAGCCUGGUGGUUCAUGUUCCAGAA